rnacentral:rRNA from 1 species
UACGUAGGGUGCGAGCGUUAAUCGGAAUUACUGGGCGUAAAGCGUGCGCAGGCGGUGAUGUAAGACCGAUGUGAAAUCCCCGGGCUUAACCUGGGAACUGCAUCGGUGACUGCAUUGCUGGAGUAUGGCAGAGGGGGGUGGAAUUCCACGUGUAGCAGUGAAAUGCGUAGAGAUGUGGAGGAACACCGAUGGCGAAGGCAGCCCCCUGGGCCAAUACUGACGCUCAUGCACGAAAGCGUGGGGAGCAAACAGG